rnacentral:rRNA from 1 species
CAUAGGUUAAUGAGGCGAACCGGGGGAACUGAAACAUCUAAGUACCCCGAGGAAAAGAAAUCAACCGAGAUUCCCCCAGUAGCGGCGAGCGAACGGGGAGGAGCCCAGAGCCUGAAUCAGCAUGUGUGUUAGUGGAAGCGUCUGGAAAGGCGCGCGAUACAGGGUGACAGCCCCGUACACAAAAGCGCAUGUGCUGUGAGCUCGAUGAGUAGGGCGGGACACGUGGUAUCCUGUCUGAAUAUGGGGGGACCAUCCUCCAAGGCUAAAUACUCCUGACUGACCGAUAGUGAACCAGUACCGUGAGGGAAAGGCGAAAAGAACCCCGGCGAG